rnacentral:rRNA from 1 species
GGGUUGUGAGGUUAAGCGACUAAGCGUACACGGUGGAUGCCCUGGCAGUCAGAGGCGAUGAAGGACGUGCUAAUCUGCGAAAAGCGUCGGUAAGGUGAUAUGAACCGUUAUAACCGGCGAUGUCCGAAUGGGGAAACCCAGUGCAAUUCGUCACACUAUCGUUAACUGAAUACAUAGGUUAACGAGGCGAACCGGGGGAACUGAAACAUCUAAGUACCCCGAGGAAAAGAAAUCAACCGAGAUUCCCCCAGUAGCGGCGAGCGAACGGGGAGCAGCCCAGAGUCUGAAUCAGCUUGUGUGUUAGUGGAACGGUCUGGAAAGUCCGACGGUACAGGGUGAUAGUCCCGUACACCAAAAUGCACAGGCUGUGAACUCGAAGAGUAGGGCGGGACACGUGGUAUCCUGUCUGAAUAUGGGGGGACCAUCCUCCAAGGCUAAAUACUCCUGACUGACCGAUAGUGAACCAGUACCGUGAGGGAAAGGCGAAAAGAACCCCGGCGAGGGGAGUGAAAAAGAACCUGAAACCGUGUACGUACAAGCAGUGGGAGCACCUUCGGGUGUGACUGCGUACCUUUUGUAUAAUGGGUCAGCGACUUAUAUUCUGUAGCAAGGUUAACCGUAUAGGGGAGCCGCAGGGAAACCGAGUCUUAACUGGGCGUUAAGUUGCAGGGUAUAGACCCGAAACCCGGUGAUCUAGCCAUGGGCAGGUUGAAGGUUGGGUAACACUAACUGGAGGACCGAACCGACUAAUGUUGAAAAAUUAGCGGAUGACUUGUGGCUGGGGGUGAAAGGCCAAUCAAACCGGGAGAUAGCUGGUUCUCCCCGAAAGCUAUUUAGGUAGCGCCUCGUGAACUCAUCUUCGGGGGUAGAGCACUGUUUCGGCUAGGGGGUCAUCCCGACUUACCAACCCGAUGCAAACUACGAAUACCGAAGAAUGUUAUCACGGGAGACACACGGCGGGUGCUAACGUCCGUCGUGAAGAGGGAAACAACCCAGACCGCCAGCUAAGGUCCCAAAGUCAUGGUUAAGUGGGAAACGAUGUGGGAAGGCACAGACAGCCAGGAUGUUGGCUUAGAAGCAGCCAUCAUUUAAAGAAAGCGUAAUAGCUCACUGGUCGAGUCGGCCUGCGCGGAAGAUGUAACGGGGCUAAACCAUGCACCGAAGCUGCGGCAGCGACACUAUGUGUUGUUGGGUAGGGGAGCGUUCUGUAAGCCUGCGAAGGUGACCUGUGAGGGUUGCUGGAGGUAUCAGAAGUGCGAAUGCUGACAUAAGUAACGAUAAAGCGGGUGAAAAGCCCGCUCGCCGGAAGACCAAGGGUUCCUGUCCAACGUUAAUCGGGGCAGGGUGAGUCGACCCCUAAGGCGAGGCCGAAAGGCGUAGUCGAUGGGAAACAGGUUAAUAUUCCUGUACUUGGUGUUACUGCGAAGGGGGGACGGAGAAGGCUAUGUUAGCCGGGCGACGGUUGUCCCGGUUUAAGCAUGUAGGCUGAUUGUCCAGGCAAAUCCGGAUAAUCAAGGCUGAGGUGUGAUGACGAGGCACUACGGUGCUGAAGUAACAAAUGCCCUGCUUCCAGGAAAAGCCUCUAAGCAUCAGGUAACAUUAAAUCGUACCCCAAACCGACACAGGUGGUCAGGUAGAGAAUACCAAGGCGCUUGAGAGAACUCGGGUGAAGGAACUAGGCAAAAUGGUGCCGUAACUUCGGGAGAAGGCACGCUGGUGUGUAGGUGAAGUCCCUGCGGAUGGAGCUGAGACCAGUCGAAGAUACCAGCUGGCUGCAACUGUUUAUUAAAAACACAGCACUGUGCAAACACGAAAGUGGACGUAUACGGUGUGACGCCUGCCCGGUGCCGGAAGGUUAAUUGAUGGGGUUAUCCGUAAGGAGAAGCUCUUGAUCGAAGCCCCGGUAAACGGCGGCCGUAACUAUAACGGUCCUAAGGUAGCGAAAUUCCUUGUCGGGUAAGUUCCGACCUGCACGAAUGGCGUAAUGAUGGCCAGGCUGUCUCCACCCGAGACUCAGUGAAAUUGAACUCGCUGUGAAGAUGCAGUGUACCCGCGGCAAGACGGAAAGACCCCGUGAACCUUUACUAUAGCUUGACACUGAACAUUGAGCCUUGAUGUGUAGGAUAGGUGGGAGGCUUUGAAGCGUGGACGCCAGUCUGCGUGGAGCCAACCUUGAAAUACCACCCUUUAAUGUUUGAUGUUCUAACGUUGGCCCCUGACCGGGGUUGCGGACAGUGUCUGGUGGGUAGUUUGACUGGGGCGGUCUCCUCCCAAAGCGUAACGGAGGAGCACGAAGGUUAGCUAAUCCUGGUCGGACAUCAGGAGGUUAGUGCAAUGGCAUAAGCUAGCUUGACUGCGAGCGUGACGGCGCGAGCAGGUGCGAAAGCAGGUCAUAGUGAUCCGGUGGUUCUGAAUGGAAGGGCCAUCGCUCAACGGAUAAAAGGUACUCCGGGGAUAACAGGCUGAUACCGCCCAAGAGUUCAUAUCGACGGCGGUGUUUGGCACCUCGAUGUCGGCUCAUCACAUCCUGGGGCUGAAGUAGGUCCCAAGGGUAUGGCUGUUCGCCAUUUAAAGUGGUACGCGAGCUGGGUUUAGAACGUCGUGAGACAGUUCGGUCCCUAUCUGCCGUGGGCGCUGGAGAAUUGAGGGGGGCUGCUCCUAGUACGAGAGGACCGGAGUGGACGCAUCACUGGUGUUCGGGUUGUCAUGCCAAUGGCACUGCCCGGUAGCUAAAUGCGGAAGAGAUAAGUGCUGAAAGCAUCUAAGCACGAAACUUGCCCCGAGAUGAGUUCUCCCUGAGACUAUAAGUCUCCUGAAGGAACGUUAAAGACGAUGACGUUGAUAGGCCGGGUGUGUAAGCGCAGCGAUGCGUUGAGCUAACCGGUACUAAUGAACCGUGAGGCUUAACCUUACAACGCCGAAG